rnacentral:tRNA from 1 species
GUUUGUAGCUCAGAGGUAGAGCAACCGGCUGUUAACCGGUAGGUCGUGGGUUCGAUCCCCACCAUGCC